GACGAACGCUGGCGGCGUGCCUAAUACAUGCAAGUCGAACGCACAGUUUAUACCGUAGCUUGCUCCACCAUAGACUGUGAGUUGCGAACGGGUGAGUAACGCGUAGGUAACCUGCCUGGUAGCGGGGGAUAACUAUUGGAAACGAUAGCUAAUACCGCAUAAUAUUGAUUAUUGCAUGAUAAUUGAUUGAAAGAUGCUAUUGCGUCACUACCAGAUGGACCUGCGUUGUAUUAGCUAGUAGGUGAGGUAACGGCUCACCUAGGCGACGAUACAUAGCCGACCUGAGAGGGUGAUCGGCCACACUGGGACUGAGACACGGCCCAGACUCCUACGGGAGGCAGCAGGAGGGAAUCUUCGGCAAUGGACGAAAGUCUGACCGAGCAACGCCGCGGGAGGGAAGAAGGGUUUCGGAUCGUAAAGCUCGGUUGUAAGAGAAGAACGGGUGUGAGAGUGGAAAGUUCACACUGUGACGGUAGCUUACCAGAAAGGGACGGCUAACUACGUG
rnacentral:rRNA from 1 species